GAAGUAACUCGCCUCUUGACCUACAUAUAAGAGGUCCCGCCUGCCCUGUGACUAUAAGUUUAACGGCCGCGGUAUCUUAACCGUGCGAAGGUAGCGCAAUCACUUGUCUCUUAAAUAGCGACCUGUAUGAAUGGCAUAACGAGGGCUUAACUGUCUCCUUUCUCAAGUUAAUGAAAUUGACCUCCCCGUGCAGAGGCGGGGAUAUAAACAUAAGACGAGAAGACCCUAUGGAGCUUUAGGCACUAAGGCUGCCCACGUAAAAACCUCCUAUAAAAGAAUAUAACUUUGUGGAGCCAGCCUAAUUGCCUUUGGUUGGGGCGACCGCGGGGAAACACAAAACCCCCAUGUGGAAUGGGGUCACUACAACCCUAAAGACGAGAGCUCCCGCUCUAAUAAACAGAAAUUCUGACCUUACUGAUCCGGUUUUGACCGAUCAACGAACCGAGUUACCCUAGGGAUAACAGCGCAAUCCCCUUAUAGAGCCCAUAUCGACAAGGGGGUUUACGACCUCGAUGUUGGAUCAGGAUAUCCUAAUGGUGCAGCCGCUAUUAAGGGUUCGUUUGUUCAACGAUUAAAAUCCU
rnacentral:rRNA from 1 species